GCAGUCGAGCGGUAGCACAGAGAGCUUGCUCUCGGGUGACGAGCGGCGGACGGGUGAGUAAUGUCUGGGAAACUGCCUGAUGGAGGGGGAUAACUACUGGAAACGGUAGCUAAUACCGCAUAAYGUCGCAAGACCAAAGUGGGGGACCUUCGGGCCUCAUGCCAUCAGAUGUGCCCAGAUGGGAUUAGCUAGUAGGUGGGGUAACGGCUCACCUAGGCGACGAUCCCUAGCUGGUCUGAGAGGAUGACCAGCCACACUGGAACUGAGACACGGUCCAGACUCCUACGGGAGGCAGCAGUGGGGAAUAUUGCACAAUGGGCGCAAGCCUGAUGCAGCCAUGCCGCGUGUGUGAAGAAGGCCUUCGGGUUGUAAAGCACUUUCAGCGGGGAGGAAGGCGUUAAGGUUAAUAACCUUGKCGAUUGACGUUACCCGCAGAAGAAGCACCGGCUAACUCCGUGCCAGCAGCCGCGGUAAUACGGAGGGUGCAAGCGUUAAUCGGAAUUACUGGGCGUAAAGCGCACGCAGGCGGUCUGUCAAGUCGGAUGUGAAAUCCCCGGGCUCAACCUGGGAACUGCAUUCGAAACUGGCAGGCUAGAGUCUUGUAGAGGGGGGUAGAAUUCCAGGUGUAGCGGUGAAAUGCGUAGAGAUCUGGAGGAAUACCGGUGGCGAAGGCGGCCCCCUGGACAAAGACUGACGCUCAGGUGCGAAAGCGUGGGGAGCAAACAGGAUUAGAUACCCUGGUAGUCCACGCCGUAAACGAUGUCGAUUUGGAGGUUGUGCCCUUGAGGCGUGGCUUCCGGAGCUAACGCGUUAAAUCGACCGCCUGGGGAGUACGGCCGCAAGGUUAAAACUCAAAUGAAUUGACGGGGGCCCGCACAAGCGGUGGAGCAUGUGGUUUAAUUCGAUGCAACGCGAAGAACCUUACCUGGUCUUGACAUCCACAGAACUUUCCAGAGAUGGAUUGGUGCCUUCGGGAACUGUGAGACAGGUGCUGCAUGGCUGUCGUCAGCUCGUGUUGUGAAAUGUUGGGUUAAGUCCCGCAACGAGCGCAACCCUUAUCCUUUGUUGCCAGCGGUUAGGCCGGGAACUCAAAGGAGACUGCCAGUGAUAAACUGGAGGAAGGUGGGGAUGACGUCAAGUCAUCAUGGCCCUUACGACCAGGGCUACACACGUGCUACAAUGGCAUAUACAAAGAGAAGCGACCUCGCGAGAGCAAGCGGACCUCAUAAAGUAUGUCGUAGUCCGGAUUGGAGUCUGCAACUCGACUCCAUGAAGUCGGAAUCGCUAGUAAUCGUAGAUCAGAAUGCUACGGUGAAUACGUUCCCGGGCCUUGUACACACCGCCCGUCACACCAUGGGAGUGGG
rnacentral:rRNA from 1 species